UUAGAUGUCGCUGUAGAUUUAGCAGUACAUUACUGUAAAAAUCCACAGUACUAUACUGUAUGUAUACAUUACAGUACAGUACUGCAGUUCAUAAUGCAUUCUGGGUAAAUUUGUUUGAGCGGGAAAAUUUUACAGUAUAUUUUGGUCUUGAUGUAACCUUGCUGUAGCCAUUGCUGUAAUGUGCCAGGUGUACUUGCAAUAAUCAGAGAAAGUGCGCCAGAGUCAAAUCACACAGAGGGAGAGAGAGCACAACUCCUGGCUGCAGCUGAAGGAGGAUGAUUGAUUUCUGGCAGUUCGUCUUACCAUUGCUUGUAAGCUGGAUUGGGUAAGAUGGAUCAUCUUUAAAGGCACCAGGAGUUAAGGCAGAUGUGGAGGCACAACGUGUGAUACCAGACACACACCAAGCACAUUAUGUUCGGACAUUCAAUCAUGACAGGAUCCAGGUGGAUGCUGUCCAUUGAAGAAAGAGUUUGUUCAGCGGUUUCUGGAUAGAAUUAAUUCCAAAGAUGGGAAAAAGUGCACAUCCAGACAAGGAGCAAGCAAAAAGACAAGGAACUUGGUGCAGAGAAAAGCUGUGGCCAUUAACCCCCAUGUGAACAGCUUCAUGCAGUCCCUGAUUGAGUUCGAAUGGACGACUUCAAAGUAAAGGCCACUGUGGUCUGUCUGCCACAGUUUAAUGCAUUUAUUUUUAGUGUUAAAUGAAAUUCAAGUAGAAUAUUUAAAAUUAUGGGCCAGUGUUCUUUUUACCACAGUGAAAUGUUACCUUUUAGUCGAUGAUGGACUUUAAACUGAAAACUUCAAACUAUGGAACAGUGUUCUAUUUGCCAGAGUUAAAUAUGUUACAGCAGGGGUCU